rnacentral:lncRNA from 1 species
CAAAACAGCCCUAAUGGAGGACAUGAAUUCAAUUUCUGACAAAGGUAAUUUAUCUUUUGCUGCUGUAUUUAAAGCCAGUGUCAGAGGUCUCAGGAAUGUCCCAUUCCAUUUGUCAGUUGAGAGUUUUAGGAGCUACAUAACCAUGUUUUUGGACACUAUAUCAUCUCUCCUAUAAGCCUUCCUUCUCUGACAGAAAUCAAGCCAUCUUAGGAGGGCUUAGGUCAUGAGAGCAUAGUACUUUUUUUCAAAAAGCUGUUCAGCUCCGUUGACCCUGCUUACACAAAACACAAUCCAUUCUGUUCUGUGUGGAAGGUGGGUGGCUUACACACCCAUACACAUACAUGUCCAGGAAGCACAUAGCCAAAGAACCCAGUUAGGGUGUCAGACCCAUAGGUUUGAUGGAGCUAACUGCCCAAAAGGAGAAUUUUGAACUGUGGGAGACACAGGAGAUGGAGGUAAGAAUAGAAGAGAAAAGAGGUCAGUAAAUGAGAACAAGGAUGAAAAAAGGAAGGAAGAUUGCAGAUAAUCAUAUCCUAAAAAAAAACAAAUAUGAAAAUGUCAGAGUAGAGGAUGGGAGGCAGGGUUAAACAUCGGGUAAAUGGGUCAGAGACCUGGGAACUGGCCUUGUAGCUUAAGCUGUUUACAUCAGUGGAAACUGGGAUGGAGGAGGGGAAGAGGGAGCGCAAGGUGUUCAGGACAGUAGCGUCUCCUACCCACUUUGUACAAUUGUACAUAAAUGCAUAACAUGCAGGGCAAUGAAAUCUUUAAGAUUUUUCAUUCAUAUCUAUUCAAUCUCUGAAAAGGUUUCUCAGGACUGCAAAAAGAGGCUGGUCCUCAAGUUUGACAUGACCGUAGGAUCCCAGGACCAGACACAAGCUAUGACCUCACACAGACUCCUUGUGCUGUCUUGGAUAAGUCACCCAAAGCUUCUCUAUUCAGGUUCAUGCAAGUCUGAUAACUGUUGCUGGGGUUUGAAUUGGACCCCCACUGCAAAGCCUGAACAUUGGGUUCUGAAGAGCCAGAAACUCAAGAUGAGAGCUGUAACAGACUCAUCCUACGCAGGCUGGGCAAAGAGAAGAGAAUGUGACAUGCAUUGGCAGAUCUCUCUACAGGUUUGCUUAUAUUGGGAAGCUGACUAGCAGAACUCCAGCAGAAUACAUAGCACAUCAGCUGCAACGCUGGAGGUCAGUUUCCUAUGUAGUCAAGCUGUUAGCCAGAAGUUGGUCAAAUAAUAAAGAUCUGAUUUGUGUGCGUUUUGUGAAUAGC